rnacentral:tRNA from 1 species
GCCUUCGUGGCGUAAUGGUCAGCACGCUCGGCGCGUAUUCGAGAGGUCCGUGGUUCGAGUCCCGGCGAGGGCA